rnacentral:rRNA from 1 species
AUGGGCAUGCGGCGCAUUAGGUAGUUGGUAGGGUAACGGCCUACCAAGCCGACGAUGCGUAGGGGUUCUGAGAGGAAGGUCCCCCACAUUGGAACUGAGACACGGUCCAAACUCCUACGGGAGGCAGCAGUGAGGAAUAUUGGUCAAUGGCCGGAAGGCUGAACCAGCCAAGUCGCGUGAGGGAAUAAGGCCCUAUGGGUCGUAAACCUCUUUUGUCAGGGAGCAAAGGCGUCCACGUGUGGACGAGAGGAGAGUACCUGAAGAAAAAGCAUCGGCUAACUCCGUGCCAGCAGCCGCGGUAAUACGGAGGAUGCGAGCGUUAUCCGGAUUUAUUGGGUUUAAAGGGUGCGUAGGCGGAGUGUCAAGUCAGCGGUAAAAUUUCGGGGCUCAACCCCGUCGUGCCGUUGAAACUGACACCCUUGAGUGAGUGAGAAGUAAGCGGAAUGCGUGGUGUAGCGGUGAAAUGCAUAGAUAUCACGCAGAACGCCGAUUGCGAAGGCAGCUUACCGGCGCUCAACUGACGCUGAGGCACGAAAGUGCGGGUAUCGAACAGGAUUAGAUACCCUGGUAGUCCGCACAGUAAACGAUGAAUGCUAGAUGUCCGGGGCGAAUGAGC